UUGCGGACGGGUGGAGUAACGCGUGGGGAACCUGCCCUGUACAGGGGGAUAACACUUAGAAAUAGGUGCUAAUACCGCAUAAGCGCACAGUAUCGCAUGAUACAGUGUGAAAAACUCCGGUGGUACAGGAUGGACCCGCGUCUGAUUAGCUGGUUGGCGGGGUAACGGCCCACCAAGGCGACGAUCAGUAGCCGGCCUGAGAGGGUGAACGGCCACAUUGGGACUGAGACACGGCCCAAACUCCUACGGGAGGCAGCAG
rnacentral:rRNA from 1 species